CACCAGCGCCUCGAGUGGGGAUCGCGAUUAUUGGGCCUAAAGCGUCCGUAGCAGGCCAUGUAAAUCCUUUGUGAAAUCGGCAGGCUUAACCUGCCGGCGCGCAGAGGACACUGCAAGGCUCGAGACCGGGAGAGGUCAGAAGUAUUCCUUGGGUACCGGUAAAAUGGGUUAAUCCAAGGAGGACUACCAAUGGCGAAGGCAUCUGACCAGCACGGUUCUGACUGUGAGGGACGAAAGCUAGGGGAGCAAAACGG
rnacentral:rRNA from 1 species